GACAGAGGGUGCAAACGUUGUUCGGAAUUACUGGGCGUAAAGCGCGUGUAGGCGGCCCUGCAAGUCGGAUGUGAAAUCCCACGGCUCAACCGUGGAAGUGCAUUCGAAACUGCAGGGCUAGAGCCUGGAGAGGAAGGUGGAAUGCUUGGUGUAGAGGUGAAAUUCGUAGAUAUCAAGCGGAACACCGGUGGCGAAGGCGGCCUUCUGGACAGUGACUGACGCUGAGACGCGAAAGCGUGGGGAGCAAACAGGG
rnacentral:rRNA from 1 species